ensembl:lncRNA
GGAAGCUGAUCCUUCACCACAACCACGGCAACGGUGGAGGCUUAUCUCUCACCACGACAGACUUGAGGGGUUCUCUGCCAACUGAUCUCUCACCGCAACGUGUAGACGGAUCUCUACGUGGAGACUGAUCUCUCACCACGACACGAGCUUCCUGCCUUCCGAUCCUCCUCUACGGACCGUUUGCUGACGGACUUCCCUGGGCCUGCUAUCUGAGACCUGCUGCUUCCUCCCUGACCUGCAUCCUCUCGCUGCCCCAGACCGGCCCCGCUGCUCCUGCCCUUCGGCCUCGGACCGUCGGAACAUCGUGCAACGGGACUGCUGCCGGAUCCUGGUGGUGCUGACUAAGCUGAAGGCUCCAACUUCCAGAGUGAAACCAGAGAAGACAACCUUUCUCUUGCAACAUGAUAACACCAGUACCCAUGCCAGUUAGAAGAUGAUGGAUCACACCGCUAACUUGGCUGGACUGUUGAAAAUAACUGUAUAGCCUGGAUUUUGCAUCUUCUCAUUUUCAUCUGUUUGGGAAAAUGAAAGGACUGUGUGGGCGUCAUUUUCUUAGCAGCUGGCAUGUCACAGCAGCUGUGAAAUAGUGGGUCUUUCACUGCUGCAGAUUUUUAUGAGUGUGGCAUGCAGGCUCAAGUUAUCACUGGUGAAACUGCAUAGCUAAUGGUUGUGACUAUGUUGACAAAUAGUGUUUUGUAACAGAGAAUUUGCUCUAUCAAGUAGUGUCAUUGUGGUUUUUGUAUCUGUUGUCUUUUCCAUGGAAAUAAACAGCAGGCAAUACCUUCAGACCAAGCUACAUAGUUACUCAACUAUUGAUUUUCUAACCAAAAUUGCCAGGAAAUGACAAAUCAUAUGUGAAGUUUUGCAGAUAAAAUCAGAUACUAACACUGACUACGCCUAACUAAAAAUGUAGUUAUUAAGUUUAAGUUUACCAAGUUCAGAAAGAAUUGCAUUACUAUUGUAACUUUAAAAUUACUCACCUGAUUAUUCUGCCUGGACCUGGAGCAUCCUAUUCACUGUAUGAUACAGAAUGGUGUUUCCUAGUGAAUGUACACACACAACCCACUCACACUCAGUUGGGGGCAUGCAUAGAUGUUGUCCCCCUCUAUCUGGCACAAGGGUAGACUUUUACCCACAUGUGCUGUUCUUUAGACACUCUCUAAUAAUUUCAUAUCAUUCUUAUAUUCUGAUGCCCAAAAGAACAUAACACUCAAAGUGAGGCCAUAACGGUGCAGAACUGAAUGAGACAACUACUUUCCUCAGCCAGCUAGCAGAGCUGUGCCAGAUGAACCUCAGAGUGCAGUCAACACCAUCACUACUAGACACAAUCACUAAUAGACAAU